CUCCUGUUCCUUAGCUAUGCUUGGAAUUUUUUUGUAGGACAUUAUUCUGUUCUCUUGGGAAGUUGGGAAGGGUUUUUAUGCUUGGCAUGGUGCUCAUAAACACUUCCUAGAAAUGCUGCUUUUCAACAGUUUUUAUCUGAAAGAAGAGAUGUUAAGAACCUAGUUUACAUAAUUCAAAUUUGGUGCUCUCAGGAUUGUUUCAGGUGUAAAAAUCCCCGAUUUCUCAGUGUGCCAUUGCUCUCUGGUGCUCUGAAUGCAUUUUGUAAUCAGUAAAUGUAUUAGUAACUGCAGAUGUUAAUCAAUCACUUUGAUAUCUAAAAGUAAGGCAAGUGGAAUGUGAAUAAUUUGUGUUGUGGUCAAGACUACUACAGUUUGGUGUCUCUGUUUGCAUUCAUCAGGGCUGUUGGACGUGAAUCAGAGGCUAGCAAUUACAAACCAGAACUAAUAACUAAAAAUCCCUGCUCUCUUUUUGAUGCAGUUGAGCUCAUUCCAGACCUCUUGGCCUUCUAGACCCAUGCCAUUGCAGUGAGGUGAUGAUCCGGAGCAAGCUGGGUGUUGCAGCACCAGAGCCCUGUGUCCUGAUCACUGUAAACCUGAGCCGUCCCGGACCCACCUUUAUUUCCUCCAGUUCCCACUUCAUUUACCCCAAACAUUUCUUCAAGUUUGCCUGUUUCUGGAUUUAUGGAGAGGUGAGUAUAAAAUCAAUGACUGCAGUGAUGCUGCUGGAGGUACCAUGCACUUGUGGGUUGGUUGGCUGGUUCCAGGCAGAAGGGGUCACAUGUGAAUUCUUCAUCUUGUACCCUGAGACGUUACUAAGUGAUGAUUCUCGCGUAUCCAGCUGUCAACGUCCGUGA
rnacentral:lncRNA from 1 species